rnacentral:rRNA from 1 species
GACGAACGCUGGCGGCGUGCCUAAUACAUGCAAGUCGAGCGCAGGAAACUGACGGAACUCUUCGGAGGGAAGGCAGUGGAAUGAGCGGCGGACGGGUGAGUAACACGUAAGGAACCUGCCUCAAGGAUUGGGAUAACUCCGAGAAAUCGGAGCUAAUACCGGAUAGUUCAACGGACCGCAUGGUCCGCUGAUGAAAGGCGCUUCGGCGUCACCUUGAGAUGGCCUUGCGGUGCAUUAGCUAGUUGGUGGGGUAACGGCCCACCAAGGCGACGAUGAAUAGCCGACCUGAGAGGGUGGUCGGCCACACUGGGACUGAGACACGGCCCAGACUCCUACGGGAGGCAGCAGUAGGGAAUCUUCCACAAUGGACGAAAGUCUGAUGGAGCAACGCCGCGUGAGUGGUGAAGGUUUUCGGAUCGUAAAACUCUGUUGUAAGGGAAGAACACGUACGAGAGGAAGUGCUCGUACCUUGACGGUACCUUACGAGAAAGCCACGGCUAACUACGUGCCAGCAGCCGCGGUAA